UGUGACCCAUGGACUGUAGCCCACCAGGCUCCUCUGUCCAUGGGACUCUCCAGGCAUGAAUACUGGAGUAGGCUGCCUUUUCCUUCUCCAAGGGAUCUUCCUGACCCAUGGAGAACCCAUGUCUCCCCCAUUGCAGGCAGAUUCUUUACCAUCUGAGCCACAAGGGACCAGGUAUCCAGCUCUCCCAGUAUGAUUUACUGAAAAGACUGCUCUUUCCACAUUGAACAGUCCUGACACCCUUGUCAAAAAUCAACUGACCACUGGAAUUCCCUGGAGAUCCAGUGGCUAAGAAUUCACCGAUGCGGGGGACACAGAUUCAAUCCCUGGUGAGGGAAGAUUCCACAUGCUGCGGGGCAGCUAAGGCCAUGUGUCACAACGACUGAGCCCACACAUUCUAGAGACGGUGCUCUGCAACAAGAGAAGCCACAGCAGCGAGAAGCGUGCCCCACAGCUAGGGAGUAGCCCCUGCCCCACCGCAACUAGAGGAAGCCCGUGCCCGGCAACGAAGACCCAGCACAGCCAAAACAGCCAUCCCAUUCCUGGGCACAUACUUAGAAGAGAUGAAGACUCUAAUUUAAUGAUCCAUGUGGGACUUCCCUGGUGGUCCAGCGGCAACGACUGUGCUCCCAACGCAGGAGCCUGGGUUUGAUCCCUGAUCAGGAAAUGAGAUCCCUGCAACUGAACUGAUCCUGGCAACAUGCCUGUGACUAAAGACCUCGAACACCACGACGAAAGAGAUCCGGGAUGCUGCAACUAAAAAGGGCCCCAAACAAAAGGAGACAUGCACCCGAGUGUUCACACAGCACAGCUUACAACAGCCAAGACACAGAAGCAGCCAGUGCCCAUCAAGACGGCUGGUUUGGGAAGAUGCAGUACGUGUAUACAGUCGUCACAAAGAGUGAAAUAUUGCCAUUUGCAGCAACAUGGACAGACCAAGAGAAUGUUAUACUUAGUGAAAUAAAACGGAGAAUGACAAAUACUAUAUACCACAUCACUUAUACGUGGAAUUUAAAAAAUACAAAUGAAUCUAUAUACAA